GGCAGAAUGACGCGACGUUUUGUUUUUCCUUCUGACGUUAAGCUCCUUAUAUCAUGAGUUUAUACAUUUCUUCACACCGUCGCCCUUCGCCCCACAUCGCCAUUCUUUGCUUUCGUGAGGUGCAUAAACUCCACGCGGUCGUGACAUCGCGGCGGACUGUGGACCGCGGUGCGUCAGCGCGUGUCACGUGGGUUCAUUAGGGAGCCGAUUGGCCGAUCAAUUGCGUUAAUGAUCAAUCCGUCCCCUCGUACAUGAGGACACUCGUCUGCCUUCUCUGUCGGGUCUUGUGGUCUGACACUCGUACAGAUCUGAUCGCCUGCUUGUUUCUGAGGACCUUACUGAAGGACAGACAUGCGUCUCUUAGGGUCCACUGUCCUUUUCUCUGUCCUGCUGCAGGCGAUGUCUGCUCCAACAGAGGACUGGCAGACGGCCACAUCGAUUUAUAACUUCUCAGCCACAGAUAUUGAUGGCAACUUGGUUUCCCUCGAAAAAUACAGGGGGGACGUCGUCAUCAUCACCAACGUUGCCUCUAAAUGAGGUAAAACCCCGGUGAACUACUCUCAGUUUACGGCGAUGCACGCUACGUACUCUGAGAGAGGUCUACACAUCCUCGCCUUCCCUUCCAACCAGUUCGGGAACCAGGAACCCGGCAAUGAAACUCAAAUCAAGCAGUUUGCACAGUCCUACAACGCUCGGUUCGACAUGUUCAGCAAGAUCGAGGUGAACGGGCCCACGGCUCACCCUCUGUGGAAGUGGCUCAAGGACCAGCCCAACGGGAAAGGCUUCAUGGGAAAUAGUAUCAAGUGGAAUUUCACCAAGUUUUUGAUCAACAGAGAGGGUCAGGUGAUGAAGAGAUACGGGCCCCUGGAUGAUCCAAGUGUGGUAGAGAAAGAUCUUCCCAAAUACUUGUAACCGCCCCACGGAGGACUCCCUCCUCACCCGGUGAUCUUCCCUCCCUUUCGCUCCUUUCUCCGGCUCUCCGAGAACUGAUGGACACAGUUUGCUUCCCCCCAGAACCAGUGACGGUUUUCUCAUAAACCCGCGUGGCGGGCAGAGGAGACCUGAUGAAAAUGGCGUGCAAACCUCCUGGGAGGAUUACCAAGCGUGCGUUCACUCACUGCUCCGGAGAGAAAGAGAAACGAUCCCUAAAACCAUGAAACAAUGAACCCUUUUAGUAGAAUAUUCUGCAUUGUUUUCAUAAUAAAAUGCACUAUAUUUAGCUUGAAUGUUA